AUGUUUCUCUCAGCUGGCGGGGCCAAGUUGAAGCCGGCCACCAUGUUAAACAUCACCAACCGAUGCUCCUACACCGUGUGGCCGGCAGCCAUGCCCGUUGGCGGUGGCGUGCAGCUCGACCCGGGGGCGACGUGGACCCUCAACGUCUCCGGGCUCGCCUCCCACGGGCGCGUGUGGGCGCGCACGGGCUGCUCAUUCAACGGCAGAGGCAACGGUUCAUGCCAGACGGGCGACUGCGGCGGCAUGCUCGCCUGCAAGGCCUACGGCCGCCCGCCCAACACGAUGGCUGAGUUCACAAUCGGCCAGUUCAACAACACCGACUUCUUCGACUUGUCCUUCGUCGACAGCUUCAACGUGCCCAUGGACUUCCUGCCAGUGCAGGACCAGGGAGGUCCAGGGUGCGGCAAAGGGCCACGCUGCGCUGCCAACAUCACAUCGCAGUGCCCAAGCGAGUUGACAGCCCCUGGGGGUUGCAACAACGCGUGCACUGUGUUCAAGCAGGACAGGUACUGCUGCACCGGGAAUGCAGCGUACAAUUGCGAACCCACCAAAUACUCGUUGUUGUUUCAGCAAAUCUGCCCGGAUGUCUACGAUUACUCCAUGGAUGCUGACUGGAAGAAGACGUUCACUUGCCCGUUGGGGACCAACUACCAGAUCGUCUUCUGCCCAUCGAUCAAUCUAAAUACUUCUUUGCCAAGCACGGGAUCGUCGUCAUCCAGCAAACGGCGCAUUGGUCUGAUUCUAGGUACUGUGGUCGGUUUCAUCUUAAUUGCCGGAUUCCUCCUUUUUUUCGUGCAUAGACGAAGAACGCGACGACACCGGGAGAUGGAGGAAGAGGAGGAAGAGUUUGGGAAGCUACAAGGAACACCAAUGAGGUUCACAUUUCAUCAGUUAGAAGUAGCAACCGAGCAGUUUAGAGACAAGCUUGGCGAAGGAGGGUUUGGUUCUGUGUUUGAGGGACAGCUUGGUGGGGAAAGGAUUGCAGUAAAACGUUUGGAUCAAGCAGGUCAAGGAAAGAAAGAAUUCUCAGCAGAGGUUCAGACGAUCGGCAGCAUCCACCAUAUCAAUCUGGUGAAACUAAUUGGUUUCUGCGUAGAGAAAUCACAUAGGCUCUUGGUAUACGAGUAUAUGCCCAAAGGAUCCUUGGACAGAUGGAUAUAUUGUCACGAUGAUAAUAUUGAUCCUCCCUUGGAUUGGAGCACGCGAUGCAAGAUUAUCACUCACAUAGCUAAGGGUCUCUCUUAUCUCCACGAGGAAUGCACGAAAAGAAUUGCUCAUUUAGAUGUUAAACCACAAAAUAUUCUCUUAGAUGACAACUUCAAUGCCAAACUUUCUGAUUUUGGAUUAUGCAAGCUCAUUGAUAGGGAUAUGAGCCAAGUAGUUACUCGAAUGAGAGGCACACCUGGAUAUUUAGCUCCAGAAUGGUUGACCUCACAAAUCACAGAAAAGGCUGAUGUCUAUAGCUUCGGCAUUGUUGUAAUAGAAAUCAUCAACGGAAGACAGAAUCUCGACCCUUCCCGGUCCGAAGAGAGCAUGCAUCUUAUUACCCUUUUGGAAAAAAAGGUGAAGCAUGAUAACUUGGUAGAUAUGAUUGACAAGACCAGUAAAGAUAUGCAAGCACACGAGCAAGAUGUAAUUCAGAUGAUGAUGCUCGCGAUGUGGUGUUUGCAAAUUGAUUGCAAAAGAAGGCCUAAAAUGUCCGAGGUAGUCAAGGUCUUGGAAGGUACCAUGAAUGCAGAGAGCAAUAUAGAUCAUAACUUUGUUGCAACGAAUCAAGUGAAUUUCCGCAUUGCUGACAAUGCAGCUUCUUCAGUUCCACCUCUAGCCUCACAUGUAUCAGGCCCCAGGUGA
rnacentral:rRNA from 1 species